rnacentral:rRNA from 1 species
UACGGAGGGGGCGAGCGUUAUUCGGAAUUAUUGGGCGUAAAGGGCGCGUAGGCGGCCUGAUAAGUCAAAGGUGAAAUCCCUCGGCUCAACUGAGGAAUUGCCUUUGAAACUGUCAGGCUUGAGGCCGGGAGGGGGUGGCGGAAUUCCCAGUGUAGCGGUGAAAUGCGUAGAUAUUGGGAGGAACACCAGUGGCGAAGGCGGCGACCUGGACGGACACUGACGCUGAGACGCGAAAGCGUGGGGAGCAAACAGG